GAAAGAUGGUUUCGGCUAUCGCUUACAGAUGGGCCCGCGGUGCAUUAGCUAGUUGGUAGGGUAAUGGCCUACCAAGGCAACGAUGCAUAGCCGACCUGAGAGGGUGAUCGGCCACACUGGGACUGAGACACGGCCCAGACUCCUACGGGAGGCAGCAGUAGGGAAUCUUCCGCAAUGGACGAAAGUCUGACGGAGCAACGCCGCGUGUAUGAAGAAGGUUUUCGGAUCGUAAAGUACUGUUGUUAGAGAAGAACAAGGAUAAGAGUAACUGCUUGUCCCUUGACGGUAUCUAACCAGAAAGCCACGGCUAACUACGUGCCAGCAGCCGCGGUAAUACGUAGGUGGCAAGCGUUGUCCGGAUUUAUUGGGCGUAAAGCG
rnacentral:rRNA from 1 species